rnacentral:rRNA from 1 species
AACGAACGCUGGCGGCAGGCUUAACACAUGCAAGUCGAACGGUUGUAGCAAUACAGCAGUGGCAGACGGGUGAGUAACACGUGGGAACCUUCCUAGGGGUACGGAACAACUCAGGGAAACUUGAGCUAAUACCGUAUACGUCCGUGAGGAGAAAGAUUUAUCGCCCUUGGACGGGCCCGCGUCGGAUUAGCUAGUUGGUGGGGUAACGGCCUACCAAGGCGACGAUCCGUAGCUGAUCUUAGAGGAUGCUCAGCCACACUGGGACUGAGACACGGCCCAGACUCCUACGGGAGGCAGCAGUGGGGAAUCUUGGACAAUGGGCGCAAGCCUGAUCCAGCCAUGCCGCGUGAGUGAAGAAGGUCUUCGGAUUGUAAAGCUCUUUUGCCAGGGACGAUAAUGACGGUACCUGGAGAAUAAGCCCCGGCAAACUUCGUGCCAGCCGCCGCGGUAA